rnacentral:rRNA from 1 species
UGGGGAAUAUUGCGCAAUGGGCGAAAGCCUGACGCAGCAACGCCGCGUGAGUGAUGAAGGCCUUCGGGUUGUAAAGCUCUUUUGUCAGGGAAGAAACGGUAGUAGCGAAUAACUACUACUAAUGACGGUACCUGAAGAAUAAGCACCGGCUAACUACGUGCCAGCAGCCGCGGUAAUACGUAGGGUGCAAGCGUUAAUCGGAAUUACUGGGCGUAAAGCGUGCGCAGGCGGUUGUGUAAGUCAGAUGUGAAAUCCCCGGGCUCAACCUGGGAAUUGCAUUUGAGACUGCACGGCUAGAGUGUGUCAGAGGGGGGUAGAAUUCCACGUGUAGCAGUGAAAUGCGUAGAUAUCGGGAGGAACACCGAUGGCGAAAGCGGNUACCUGGGCCAGAUCUGACGCUGAGGCGCGAAAGCUAGGGGAGCAAACAGGAUUAGAUACCCUAGUAGUCCCUGAGCGGGCUGGCAAGGCGCAU